UACGUAGGGUGCGAGCGUUGUCCGGAAUUAUUGGGCGUAAAGAGCUCGUAGGCGGUUUGUUGCGUCGGCUGUGAAAUCCCGAGGCUCAACCUCGGGUCUGCAGUCGAUACGAGCAAACUAGAGUGUUGCAGGGGAGACUGGAAUUCCUGGUGUAGCGGUGAAAUGCGCAGAUAUCGGGAGGAACACCGGUGGCGAAGGCGGUUCUCUGGGCCGUAACUGACGCUGAGGAGCGAAAGCAUGGGGAGCGAACAGG
rnacentral:rRNA from 1 species